rnacentral:rRNA from 1 species
UGGGGAAUAUUGCACAAUGGGGAAACCCUGAUGCAGCGACGCCGCGUGAAGGAAGAAGUAUCUCGGUAUGUAAACUUCUAUCAGCAGGGAAGAUAGUGACGGUACCUGACUAAGAAGCACCGGCUAAAUACGUGCCAGCAGCCGCGGUAAUACGUAUGGUGCAAGCGUUAUCCGGAUUUACUGGGUGUAAAGGGAGCGUAGACGGCUGAGCAAGUCAGAAGUGAAAGCCCGGGGCUCAACCCCGGGACUGCUUUUGAAACUGUCCGGCUCGAGUGCAGGAGAGGUAAGCGGAAUUCCUAGUGUAGCGGUGAAAUGCGUAGAUAUUAGGAGGAACACCAGUGGCGAAGGCGGCCUGCUGGGCUUUUACUGACGCUGAGGCUCGAAAGCAUGGGUAGCAAACAGGAUUAGAUACC